AGCGAACGCUGGCGGCAGGCUUAACACAUGCAAGUCGAACGGGCAUCUUCGGAUGUCAGUGGCAGACGGGUGAGUAACACGUGGGAACGUACCCUUCGGUUCGGAAUAACUCAGGGAAACUUGAGCUAAUACCGGAUACGCCCUUUUGUGGAAAGGUUUACUGCCGAAGGAUCGGCCCGCGUCUGAUUAGCUUGUUGGUGGGGUAACGGCCUACCAAGGCGACGAUCAGUAGCUGGUCUGAGAGGAUGAUCAGCCACACUGGGACUGAGACACGGCCCAGAAUCCUACGGGAGGCAGCAGUGGGGAAUAUUGGACAAUGGGCGCAAGCCUGAUCCAGUCAUGCCGCGUGAGUGAUGAAGGCCUUAGGGUUGUAAAGCUCUUUUGUCCGGGACGAUAAUGACGGUACCGGAAGAAUAAGCCCCGGCUAACUUCGUG
rnacentral:rRNA from 1 species